rnacentral:rRNA from 1 species
UGAGUAACACGUAUCCAACCUGCCGUCUACUCUUGGACAGCCUUCUGAAAGGAAGAUUAAUACAAGAUGGCAUCAUGAGUUCACAUGUUCACAUGAUUAAAGGUAUUCCGGUAGACGAUGGGGAUGCGUUCCAUUAGAUAGUAGGCGGGGUAACGGCCCACCUAGUCUUCGAUGGACAGGGGUUCUGAGAGGAAGGUCCCCCACAUUGGAACUGAGACACGGUCCAA